ACGCUGGCGGCGUGCCUAACACAUGCAAGUCGAACGCCUUGUGGUUUUAAUGAAUAGCGUGCUUGCACAAUAUGAUUUAAAACAAUGCAAGGAGUGGCGAACGGGUGAGUAACACGUGGGAAACCUACCUCUUAGCAGGGGAUAACAUUUGGAAACAGAUGCUAAUACCGUAUAACACUAAAAACCGCAUGGUUUUUAUUUGAAAGAUGGUUCUGCUAUCACUAAGAGAUGGUCCCGCGGUGCAUUAGUUAGAUGGUGAGGUAAUGGCUCACCAUGACGAUGAUGCAUAGCCGAGUUGAGAGACUGAUCGGCCACAAUGGGACUGAGACACGGCCCAUACUCCUACGGGAGGCAGCAGUAGGGAAUCUUCCACAAUGGGCGCAAGCCUGAUGGAGCAACGCCGCGUGUGUGAUGAAGGGUUUCGGCUCGUAAAGCACUGUUGUAAGAGAAGAAUGUACUUGAGAGUAACUGUUCAAGUAGUGACGGUAUCUUACCAGAAAGGGACGGCUAAAUACGUGCCAGCAGCCGCGGUAAUACGUAUGUCCCAAGCGUUAUCCGGAUUUAUUGGGCGUAAAGCGAGCGCAGACGGUUAUUUAAGUCUGAAGUGAAAGCCCUCAGCUCAACUGAGGAAUUGCUUUGGAAACUGGAUGACUUGAGUGCAGUAGAGGAAAGUGGAACUCCAUGUGUAGCGGUGAAAUGCGUAGAUAUAUGGAAGAACACCAGUGGCGAAGGCGGCUUUCUGGACUGUAACUGACGUUGAGGCUCGAAAGUGUGGGUAGCAAAC
rnacentral:rRNA from 1 species